rnacentral:rRNA from 1 species
UACAGAGGGGGCAAGCGUUGUUCGGAAUUAUUGGGCGUAAAGGGCGCGUAGGCGGUGCGGUAAGUCUGUAGUGAAAUCUCUGGGCUCAACUCAGAGUCUGCUAUAGGAACUGCCGUGCUUGAGUGUGGGAGAGGUAUGUGGAAUUCCCGGUGUAGCGGCGAAAUGCGUAGAUAUCGGGAGGAACACCUGUGGCGAAAGCGGCAUACUGGACCACAACUGACGCUGAGGCGCGAAAGCUAGGGGAGCAAACAGG